CUGUUGUUAUACAUACCUGGAUAUCUUGGGGGUCCUGGUUGUGAAUAAUGUGGAGGGGGUGGAUCAUGUGAUACCUGUGCUCCUGUUGUACAGGUAAUUCUGUUGUUAUACAUACCUGGAUAUCUUGGGGGUCCUGGUUGUGAAUAAUGUGGAGGGGGUGGAUCAUGUGAUACCUGUGCUCCCGUUGUACAGGUAAUUCUGUUGUUAUACAUACCUGGAUAUCUUGG